rnacentral:rRNA from 1 species
UACAGUGGUCCCAAGCGUUGUUCGGAUUCAUUGGGCGUAAAGGGUGCGUAGGUGGCGCCGUAAGUCGGGUGUGAAAUUUCGGAGCUUAACUCCGAAACUGCAUUCGAUACUGCGGUGCUUGAGGACUGGAGAGGAGACUGGAAUUCAUGGUGUAGCAGUGAAAUGCGUAGAGAUCAUGAGGAAGACCAGUGGCGAAGGCGGGUCUCUGGACAGUUCCUGACACUGAGGCACGAAGGCCAGGGGAGCAAACAGG